CUCUUAUCGAGAGAGGUGGAGGGAAAGGGCCCUAUGAAACCCGGCAACCUGUUUACACAAGGUGCCAAUUCCUGUAGAUUUAUUAAUCAUAAUCUACAAGAUAAGAA
rnacentral:ncRNA from 1 species